GAGCAAGGAGGCCCGACACCCUCCCACUCCGAAGCAGCGACACUCAGGUAGAGAAGAAGGAGGUUGGCCAUAAUGGCUUCCACGCCGGUGCAACCACAGUUCAUUGCAAGCACUGGGAAUAGAAGUUUAUCAAAUGCGCCACUCAUCGAGAAUCCCGAAUCUGAUCAGAUUGUUGUGCCUGAUAGGAAAAGCUGGAAAAA